rnacentral:lncRNA from 1 species
UUUGGGUUCUAGGGGUAUUUUUGAAAGAAAAAUCAGAAAAUGGGGGUCAAAACAUAAUUUUAAAAAGUUGUGCCGCGUAGAUACCCAGUCAGCAGCCCCAACGGACCAGAAUGUGUCAUGUGGCAAAGGACGCUAGUGCGGUGCCACGCAGCAAUCCGUGUGCCCGCGAUUGGAUGACCCAGAUCUGCUCCCAUGCACACGGACGGCUCGGAUAUGUUCCCUUCCCAGACGCGAUCGGAUGGUCAGAUUUAAACACAGUCAACGGU